GUCCAUUAUAAGGAGAAUAAUCCUGGAAUGUUUUCCUCAAAAACCUUCAUUUCUUUUCGACUGAAGAAAGAAAUACAUAAAUAUCUUGGAUGACAUGGGGGUGAGUAAAUUAUCAUGAAAUUUUAAUUGGAAAGCGAACUAAUCCUUUAACUCUAGUAAAGAAUCCUUCCAUCAAGCAAUAUUGAAAGUAAAAUGGCAAAGCAAAAUAUUUUAAUAUAUUUCAUAGUGUAAAAAAAAAAAUCAGGCUGACUACACUCGUUUUUGCAUGUUUCUCCAAGUUCUAGUUUUUCUUUUUUUUUACCUCCUACAAGUUCAGUUGUUUUCUAACUUCUCUUAUUGCCUGUAUUACCACUAGGUGGCCUCAGUAAACUUCCAAGAGUGAUGUAAAAUGUCUUAAAACUAUCAAUAUCAUUAUCGAUAUAUACAAUACAAAAUAAUAAGAAUAGGUACAUAAUUGAAUAAGUACAUUAUAAGAUUUUUGUAUAAGAAAUGUUAUAUACACAACACAACUUUCAACAUUGACAUAUUAGAAUGAUUUCUGGACACACACACACACAUAUAUAUAUAUAUAUGUCUGUAUAUGUGCGUAUAUGUGUGUGUGUUUAAACAUAUAUUCACACACAUUUUCCCUGUAUAUUAUACUCUUCGUUUUGUUUCCUGUAUUUUAAAACAUUAUAGGCUAACUGAGAAGAGUGAGCAGAACGUUAUGAAGAAUAUCUACUGUAAGAAAUUCUGCAUCUGGAGAGCUGCUGCAUCACAGCUUUAUUGGCAGAAGUACAAGAGGAAAAUCAGAGUCUGUACAGGCGGCCUUCGAAAAUCGACUUUGACAAAGAGAGACCUUGGAGUUAUAAAGGUUGAGAGCCACUGAUCUAGAGCAAUCUAAACUGCCACAGCUUCAGGCUACAUUGGCCAGCAUGUAAUAAUUUAAUUUUCCAAGCAAAACAGCCUUUGGGCUGAACGUCAUUUCAAUAUUCAUUGUACAGGUACAACAAGAUCAGUUAAAGUUACUGGAUGUUCUCUUCCAGUUACAAACAAAUCUCCUUUCAGGCAACAGUGAUGAACUGUGAUAGCGACAAUUGCUUUUCCUUCCUUUCCUAUUUAACAUUUUUUCAUACAUGUCAUUUCAAAAAUUACAUUGUCAUGCAUAAUUUGAUGUUUAAUUCAGAGCUGCUUGUCUGGAGCUUUAGGCUACUUCAGCUGGAAUGGUGUCUUUUGUUUAUUUCUUCUAUUUCUUCAAAUGGCACAUACUAAAAUAGCUGGUAGACAAUAAUAUUAUUCUUGGAAAUAAAAAGAAAAUGAAAUUUCA